rnacentral:rRNA from 1 species
AAGACCUUGCGCUUUUGGAGCGGCCGAUGCCUGAUUAGCUUGUUGGUAAGGUAAAAGCUUACCAAGGCUUCGAUCAGUAGCUGGUCUGAGAGGACGACCAGCCACACUGGGACUGAGACACGGCCCAGACUCCUACGGGAGGCAGCAGUGGGGAAUUUUGGACAAUGGGGGCAACCCUGAUCCAGCCAUGCCGCGUGAGUGAAGAAGGCCUUCGGGUUGUAAAGCUCUUUCAGCCGGAACGAAACGGUUACGGAUAACACCCGUGACUACUGACAGUACCGGAAGAAGAAGCACCGGCUAACUACGUGCCAGCAGCCGCGGUAAUACGUAGGGUGCGAGCGUUAAUCGGAAUUACUGGGCGUAAAGCGUGCGCAGGUGGUUUUGUAAGUCAGAUGUGAAAGCCCCGGGCUCAACCUGGGAACU